AACGUCGAUACCACAACGGAUCCUUCCGAAACGAAAUUGCACGGGAAUAUUCCGUCGGGGAUCACCACUGGCAAUCGCACACGCGCGCACUUCUCCUCGCCGUCCAAUAAAUCCACGAUUCCAACAACGAAGCAACGCAACAGAUGCGGCGCCGGAUUUCGGUUCGACGAUCGGCAAACGAAAAUAGCGAGGAGGAAAGAAGAGCGGGUGGAACGAAGCCUUGAUCUUUGAGGAAGCAGCCUCGGAACGAAUUAACGCGAUCCAUCAUCGCGCCUCUGGAAUCUAUGCUGAUCCUCCACGUUCCACGACUCGACGGCUUAUGGUUCGCACCCACGCUUCCUCGAGCCACCCAGCAGUCCCCGUGCGAGCCCUGAUGAACGCGCCGGAUCUAGGGUAUGCAAGGUCUGGUCUAGGUCUAAUCGGGCGUGCGGUUGAGCGUAUAUCGUUAACCCAGCUCGGCUGGAAACAACUCGUCUGUUUGUAAAAUAGCCGAUCCGCAAGUACGGCCACGUGUUUCCGCCGUGUGUUAUGGAUCGUUUCGUGCGCGAUACGCUCGUAAAGCGGGCGUAAUUUAACGAGCAGGCCGCCUCGGCUUAUCGUCUCGGGAAAUGCGACCGCGGAAAUGUAGCUCGUCAACGACAACGAGCACCGGAAUUCCCCUAAUUCAGACAGCUUUCCGCUCGCCCGUUUCUCGUUACAAACGCGAGUGAUAAACCUAUAAAUACGUGGAGCACGUGCUCCACGCGUUCCACGAUGGAUGGGAGCAGCGAGGGGAGGGGGGAGGAGAGAGGUUGAGAUUCGAUAAACAGCAGCGCGUGCUGGAUCGACUCGCGUACGCCGUUGUUAAAUCAGUCGAGCAAGUAUUUCGCAUCGAGUGUUCAGCGCGCUCUCGUAAAUCGAUAAAAAGUUAAACGUUCGUUGGAUAGAGGCGACGCCUAUGCGGUCUCGUUUGGAGAACGACGCGGUCGAAAAUACGCGUGUCCGCGUUCGCUCUCAUUGCGUAAAUUAUCGACGUGCACAGGCGUAGGCUGCGUAGAGGAUAAGUAAACGCGAUUUUCAAUGGAUUUUUGAUGGACGAAAUUCGAUCGAUACAGGACAGAAAUCGAGUUGGAUGAAUGGAAUCAAGAAUCGAGAUAAAGAUGGCGCGUCCCGUUCGACGCGUAAAUCCGUCGUUUCCAAGAUAUAAAAAAUAACAAUAAAGACGACCUCACCAUCCGAACGAAACUUUCGUCACGUUUUAUUGAAUUUAAGCGAAAGUACGACAACGGCGAAUUCCUCUCUUCGUUGUUUCGUAAGUUUACAAGCGUUGAUCUGUGACACCAUCAAUGCCGCGCCUUCAACCAGACAAUUAAUAAAUCACAUAGCACGCGACGAAAGUAAAAGUUGGAAGUUCGAUGGAAGAAUUACGAAGGUCCCUGGAUCGAUAAUGUCGCGCGUUUGUUCGCCUUCGGGAAUCUCGUUGAUAAGACGGGUGGAAAAAGUAUCUGAAAAGGAUCUCGUCAUCGAUCGGAGAGAGAGAAAUGGAGAAAUCCAUCGGCAAUUAAUUAUCUAAAUUUACCGGGCGAGCCUCUUCGUACGCACAUGUCAACGAUUUAUUUUUGAAACGAGCUAUGACCCGGCUCCGAAAUAAUUGUAACGGUAUUCCUAGGAAUAACACGUUCGCCUUGUUUUUCCAAGCUAACAAGCUUAAUUCGUUGGGAAAGGAGAAACGACGCCCACGCGUUUUUCGCCUGUCCUAGGAAAAGCAACGUUUUCUAAAACGAAAAACGGGCGGUUGGGAUUCCGUAAAAUUUCACCCAGGUGCCCGCGAGUUCCCAAGGGAAUUAUCGACGGGAGGGAACGAAAUAACGAAGGAUAAUAAGAUAAAUAAGGUAAUUUCGAACCGUUAUGCACGGAUUCGAAUGGCCAGAGUAACUGUACGAAUCCCAUUUCACUGGUUAUAAAUGCAACAGAGCACGACGCUCUGCCCCACACUCCUUCCCCUCUCUACGAGCCAACGCCACGUUGGAAGGAGAAUCGAGACUCUCCUCCGCUUCCCCGGCCAAUUAAUUCGUUUAUUACCGCAUUGCUGCUCCGUAAAUCACCUCCCAAGGAUAAUUACCUCACCGGUAAUUUCACCGCUGUUCAGUUACGCUCGGGAUAAUGGAUACGUUGCGAAUCAUUCUUGCACAUCGAUCGAUCUUGCACGCCGCUUCUUUGUCCCGUUUCAUCGCCUUUCCCCCUCCCUCUCUCCUUUCGAGCCGAAACUUUCGAUUCGACUCGCGCCUCUCGCGCUCUUCUCUCGAGAUUCAAAUUUCUCCAUCUCGAUCGAUAACUCGGAUCCGGUAUAAUAUCCUGUCCUUCUUCCGGCUGAUAUAACGGAAUAAUUAUCAUAAUAAUUCGCAACGGGUAUCCCCGAUUAGAGAAACGCGGAUAGAAUCGAUUUAAACGGAGGCGAGAGAUUGGAAGAUCGAUCAUUGGAGCGGAUCGCGGACGAGUGUCAACGUAAGACGUGGGAAAAGCGAAGAAGUGUUUGAAGUGUGUCAACCAAGAAAGACCGAGUCGAGUCGAGGAAGAUCGAUUUGUUAAGUGCCAUUCACCAGUUUUUGCGGAAGCUCGUUUCCUUUUUUUUCUUUUUUUCUUGUUCUUAUCUCCGCGGAAACGGAAAUGAAUUAACACGAUUAACCGCGUAUGAACCGAGAUUAAGAAGAAAUUUUGAUCUAUUGUUUCUUACCUCCACGUGUGCGGUGAGAAUCCCGAACACGAAUCCCCGCAUUGCAAACAAGGUUGGCCCUCCUCGACGUCCGUGAUCAGGACACCCUGCGAUCAAACAAAUCAAAAAUUCCGUUCAAUUGCUCGCCGAGAUAUUUCCAAAAAAGAAAAAAAAAAUCAUCGCGAAUCCGAUGAGGAUAAGUGGAUAGGAAUGACCAUUCCCGCGAUCGAAUCCCGUGUUAAUUGCAAAACGGUGAAAGGUUUGGAUCAUGUUUGCAAAUGUCAAUCGCCCGGGGCAUCGUCGCUCGAUCGAGACGAGACGCUCGUCUUUCGUCUAACGAAGAUGCGCGCCUCGUCCUCCCUCGACCGUGAAAUAUAAAAUUAAAAAAAAAGAAACAAAGGGAAGGAAAGAAAAAGUGGAAGACAAAGACAAAGGAUGUAGAGGAGAGUAAAGGAAAAAUACGUCAUUCCAUCGCGCGAUCGUGACUCGCUCAUAAUUACGUGCGAAGCGGGACAAGGCCGAAUCGAAGCGAGUCUUCGCCUUCCAAUUGGGAGAAGUUUUUUUUCUUUUUUUUUUAAUUGCUCGGCCAUGGAUCCCGGCCGACCAUUCCAUUCCAAAACCAACCAUUCAACCCGAAAUCAAAUCAUUCCCCCGCGAAUCGGCCAAGCUUUCCUUUUAAGAGAUUUCAAUCUCCCACACGUUCACGGUUUAAAGAGCCACUCGGUGACAUUUGGGACGCGCCGAGGACUGCUUCCAAACGCGUCGUCCCGGCCGUUUACGAAGAGGAGAUAAAGGGAAGAAGCGAGGAUGGAAAGCUCGAGGCGCGUUGGAUGCGUUCAAGAACCUUUCCGGCCGGCAUAUAUGGUCGGCCCGCCCACGUGAAACGGGUCGCGGGUACUUGGCAUCGCCAAAUAUCGAGUAGACGAGGAAAAUGUGUAAGCCGAUGUGUCUCUAGCUGUCUAUAUAUAGGAAUCUUGAAUAAUGAUAGCCGAGCCGAACGAGCGAACCAUUGCCUAAUUAACAUAUUUUUCGUCCUGACUCACGAGUGAAAGGACCCGCUAUCCACUUUUUCUCUCUCCCUUUUUCUUUUCCUUUUUCUCCCCUCCACCAAUCUCUCCACCAUGUGGAAGUCUCUCGCUAGUACCUUCCCAUGUUCCAUUUACUGAACCUUGCCGGAUAACUUGAUUUUAAUUCCAGUUUCAGUUUUUUCCUUUCUUCCUUCCUUCCGACGAUCCAAAUCGCCUCGAUUUUUGCAAAAUCGCCUCGCAAAAAGGCGAUCGUCGUAGCUCCGCUUUUAGAGAAAUCGAACUCGAGGAGUAUGGAAAACACGAUUUCCUAUCACCGCGUAAAUUCCUACGUAUAUAUAUAUACACGUAAUCGCCACUUGGUCUCGAGCAUAUCUUAUGUCGUUGACUCCUCGACCGUUUAUAGCUCGGUUAACAGCAUCGUACGCUUAUAGUCUGGUCCGAUCGUCGCGAUUAUAUCGACUUCCAUCGUUAACGACGAUGAUCGACGAUCAUCGAUUAUACUUCGACAAAGGCCUGGCCAGUUUUUUCUUUUAACUCCGCGUACACGAGUAAAGAUGUGAUCCGUACGGCUGCGUGCAUGUCCUACACGCAACGCGACCAUUUCAUUUGUGGGCGGUUUGCUGACAUUUCCAUGACGCGUUGGCCAAUACACGGUUGAAUUACGUAAGGAACAUUGAAAACUUGCGUUAAACCGGCUGAAUAACAGACCGUCAACCCUCGAGAGAGAGAGAGAGAGAGAAAGAGAGCGUCGAGAGAUGGAUAACUCGCGAGCGUGCGAAAAAAAUCGAACCGGUGUAAUUUUCGCUCGGCGUAAAUGGCCAACUUUGAACUCGCAAAAGGGAAACGACGAUCGCUCGUGAAAGUUGGCGUCCGCGGUUCGAGAAAUGAACCGAAUAAACCGAGCAAGGUGAGUGGAUCGAUCAAAGGAUUGGUAGUAAAGCGUCGAGAGUUAAAAAAAAAAAAAAAAGAAACCGAUUCGGAUGGCGGAUGCUUUCACACCCCGACUCGGCGGCCAAGUCGGCGAGAUCUCCGCGCUUUCCAUCGCGUUAUUUAACUAUAGAGCGUAGCACCGGCUAUACUCUAUAAUUAUCGUCUAAGAAAUGAAGAGAUGUUCGCAAACAGCGUCAAUUGGACUUGGAACGAAUCGCAAUUGGGGUUGGAUUGGAAUCAAAGAAUUUCACUGAUUCAUUUAGAAAUUCAAUUAAAACUUUCUAUAUUUAUAUUUCUAUAUAUAUAUAUGUAUAUGUAUAAGUAUAUAUAUAUAUAUAUACAUAUCUGAUAAUUCCAUAGAGAUAAUUGAUCUCAUAAUCAUUGCUUUCACUUAAUUCAUACAAGCUCGUUAAGUCCGUUCGAUGCUCGACGAACUCUCGUGUAAUAUAUAAGAUAUAAUAAAAGCGUGCGCACAAUAUGAAUAAAGAAAGUAACAACGA